rnacentral:rRNA from 1 species
UGGUGCCAGCAGCCGCGGUAAUUCCAGCUCCAAUAGUGUAUAUUAAGUUGCUGACGGUUAAAAGCUCGUAGUUGGAUUUCGGACUGCGCUUCGGUCAAAGCUCGCCGCAAGGCGUGGCUGGACUAACGCGUCCUAUCUUCGGAUAGUGAACCUGGCUCGCAAGGGCUGGGAGCUCGCUUCCGAUCAUUUACUUUGAAAAAAUUAGAGUGUUCAAAGCAGGCGUCAAGCCAUUGAAUAUUACAGCAUGGGAUAAUAGAAUAUGACGUUGGUCUUAUUUUGUUGGUUUCUAAGGCUGAUGUAAUGAUUAAUAGGGAUAGUUGGGGUCGCUCGUAUUGAGUUGUCAGAGGUGAAAUUCUAGGAUUUACUCAAGACGAACUAAUGCGAAAGCAUUCGACAAGGAUGUUUUCAUUAAUCAAGAACGAAAGUUGGGGG